rnacentral:rRNA from 1 species
AGGCCUAACACAUGCAAGUCGAAUGGUAACAGGAAACAGCUUGCUGUUUCGCUGACGAGUGGCGGACGGGUGAGUAAUGUCUGGGAAACUGCCUGAUGGAGGGGGAUAACUACUGGAAACGGUAGCUAAUACCGCAUAACGUCGCAAGACCAAAGAGGGGGACCUUCGGGCCUCUUGCCAUCAGAUGUGCCCAGAUGGGAUUAGCUAGUAGGUGGGGUAACGGCUCACCUAGGCGACGAUCCCUAGCUGGUCUGAGAGGAUGACCAGCCACACUGGAACUGAGACACGGUCCAGACUCCUACGGGAGGCAGCAGUGGGGAAUAUUGCACAAUGGGCGCAAGCCUGAUGCAGCCAUGCCGCGUGUAUGAAGAAGGCCUUCGGGUUGUAAAGUACUUUCAGCGGGGAGGAAGGGAGUAAAGUUAAUACCUUUGCUCAUUGACGUUACCCGCAGAAGAAGCACCGGCUAACUCCGUGCCAGCAGCCGCGGUAAUACGGAGGGUGCAAGCGUUAAUCGGAAUUACUGGGCGUAAAGCGCACGCAGGCGGUUUGUUAAGUCAGAUGUGAAAUCCCCGGGCUCAACCUGGGAACUGCAUCUGAUACUGGCAAGCUUGAGUCUCGUAGAGGGGGGUAGAAUUCCAGGUGUAGCGGUGAAAUGCGUAGAGAUCUGGAGGAAUACCGGUGGCGAAG